rnacentral:rRNA from 1 species
AUUGAACGCUGGCGGCAUGCUUUACACAUGCAAGUCGAACGGUAACAGGUUAAGCUGACGAGUGGCGAACGGGUGAGUAAUGCAUCGGAACGUGCCCGAUCGUGGGGGAUAACGCAGCGAAAGCUGCGCUAAUACCGCAUACGAUCUGAGGAUGAAAGCGGGGGACCGUAAGGCCUCGCGCGAUCGGAGCGGCCGAUGUCAGAUUAGGUAGUUGGUGGGGUAAAGGCUCACCAAGCCGACGAUCGGUAGCUGGUCUGAGAGGACGACCAGCCACACUGGGACUGAGACACGGCCCAGACUCCUACGGGAGGCAGCAGUGGGGAAUUUUGGACAAUGGGCGCAAGCCUGAUCCAGCAAUGCCGCGUGCAGGAAGAAGGCCUUCGGGUUGUAAACUGCUUUUGUACGGAGCGAAAAGGCUCUCUCUAAUACGGAGGGCUCAUGACGGUACCGUAAGAAUAAGCACCGGCUAACUACGUGCCAGCCGCCGCGGUAA